GACGAACGCUGGCGGCGCGCUUAACACAUGCAAGUCGAACGGAAAGGCCUGCUUUCCCUUGUGGAUUGCGGGUACUCGAGUGGCGAAUGGGUGAGUAACACGUGAGUGAUCUGCCCCCAACUUGGGUAUAAGCCUGGGAAACUGGGUCUAAUUCCCGAUAGGACUGCAGGGUGGUGCCUGUGGUGGAAAACGAUUUUCUAGUGGUUGGGGAUGAGCUCGCGGCCUAUCAGCUUGUUGGUGGGGUAAUGGCCUACCAAGGCGGCGACGGGUAGCCGGCCUGGGAGGGUGGACGGCCACAUUGGGACUGAGAUACGGCCCAGACUCCUACGGGAGGCAGCAGUGGGGAAUAUUGCACAAUGGGCGGAAGCCUGAUGCAGCGACGCCGCGUGGGGGAUGACGGCCUUCGGGUUGUAAACUCCUUUCGACCGCGAGGAAGCCACCUGGUUGGAAGGGUGGUGACGGUAGUGGUAGAAGAAGCACCGGCUAACUACGUG
rnacentral:rRNA from 1 species